UUAUUUCAGAUUGAAAAUGCACUGAAGAUGGCAACCAUAGCAAAUUCAAACUUUUUGAAAUAUUCGAGAUAUUUUCCCAAUCAUCUUGAGUAUGCUAGCCAAAUACCUAGAGAUUUCCCGGAUAAAAGAAGGCAAAAGAAGCCAAAGAUAAUAAAAGUUGAUUCAAAACUGAAUAAGGUACUCUGUUUAGAGAAUCUAGAGCAUAUAGAUAUCCCUCCAAAAGGCAUUUCUAAAGAACCU